GUUUAAUGACACCAGUGUCUACAAGGAUGAAGAACUCAAGAAUAUUUACAACUCCAGGACUGCAUAUCUACUUGUGUACAGAGAGUGUCAGAAGACCAAUUCAGAAAAUCUGAAAGCUGAAAUGAAAAAACAACGUGGUGAAGACACAAUUCAAGAGCCACAAGGAGACAAGGUGGGAAACACAGGAACACCAGACACAGAUGAAGAAAAACAACAGGUGGACCAAAAUGGAGAGGAUGAAAGAAGAA